ensembl:lncRNA
CCACCUCCAGUUACCACUGUUAGUCUUGUGGUAAGGAGUCCGUGGGAUACCAGUUCUAUCUUGCUCAUCAGCAAACCUCAUGCAGGUGGUGUGGACAUUCUUAUUUCCACAAAGGCCAAUUUGUUUCAGAUUGCCUAUUCAAAAUGGAAGAGCAUGAACACUGUUGCCUCCUCGGUCACCUUGCUGUGAAGUUGUAACACAACAAAUGGCUAAUAGCAGCAAUUUGUCCCUAUUCCACAAAGCAGGAAUACAAAGUGCCAGAGGAUACUGAAAACAUUGCCAAAUGUUGAAGUGACCAAGAGGCACACUAACAAGGAUGACUACUGAUGGCUCCACAGCUUCCUUGAAGCCUUGGAAUAAUGCAGACUGUCAC